ensembl:lncRNA
GUACGUCUGCUGUAUUUCUGGGGGACUAGAGCAGAGUGCAAGCCAUCCGUCUUGGUGCAGGCUGGGCCACGAGUUCCUCCCGGGUCUCGUGUCUCAGAGGCCCUUAGGCCUCUCUGCACAACCUGCUGCUGUUCAUCCAGGCAGCGAGAGAGUGCUCAGUGCGUUCCUGCUGCCUCUGAGGGCAGCUGGGAUUGGCUUGCCUCUGCCUGGGCUGCCUUCUGCGGCAAAGACAGAAGCAGGGAUUGCUUCUGCUUGAGCAGAAGGCUGGCACUUAGCGAGUGGCUAGGCUCCAGGGAGCUCUCAAGCUGCCGACUGGCAGAGGGGUGGUGGCAUUUUGGAUGGUCUGGGAAGCGGCGUCUCUGCUUGCGAGUGAGUGCCUUGCACUGCUUCUGUCUUUCAGGGAGCGUUGUGAGCCCGGGUGAGCCAGGGAGGAAAUACACAGCCCUUGAAGAACUUGGACGAGGGGGCUUUGGAGCUGUUUAUAGAGCCCUGGAUGCCAGCACAGGGAAACAGGUAAAGAUUCAGCAGCCCCCGCGGGUUUUGCAGCUCCGGAGCGCUUCCCCUGCUGCUGGAGACCGUGGCUGGAGCUUUGGCCGGCCGCUCCAUCUCUGCAGCAGAGGCUGCUCGUCUGCAGCACAGACUGGGCUCAGCGUGCAGAAUGCAUUUGGGACAGGCUUUGGUGCUUCUCUGAAGCUUUGCUGUCUAGUAACAAGGCAGUUUGGCAGAGCUCAGCUGCGUGGUCGCACAAGCACUGGCUCCGUGUUCCUUGUGAUCUGCUGCAAGGAGCGACUUGUCAAGUGAACAGUCUUCUAUGUCCUUUUAGGUGGCCAUCAAGAAAAUGACGCUGCAAGAGGAGGAUUCCGAGGAGCUGGCUGUCAAUGAAAUCCUGGCCAUGAGGGACAACAGGAAUCCCAAUAUUGUUACCUACUUAGACAGGUUGGGGCGUUGGCAUGUCAGCGUUCCUUCAGAUAGUGCAAGGCAGAAAUGACCAACCCCUUUGGUCAGCGGCAGAAAGCGGAGCUGCUUGUGCUUUCUCUACUUGUGUCCAGCACAGGGGAGGAGGUUUCACUUGGUGUGCAAGAAUCUCUUCCGGCAUAUGUAGCUUGGAGAGCAGUGGCAAAAGCCUGGCUCAGGCCCUCGGGUGACUGAGCUGUACCCGUUGCUGUCUCUCCAUGCCGUACUUUUUCUUCUUGCAGCUACCUGGUCGACGAGGAUCUCUGGCUGGUGAUGGAAUUCAUGGACAGAGGCACGCUGUUCGAUGUACUCAGGGCAGCGUACCUGGAGGAAGAACAGAUAGGCUGUCGGGAGGUGAGGGAUGGCGCCUGUGCCGGCCCUGGCCUGCACAGGAUGGUCCUUGCCAGCGGGUGGGGAAGAAGAGCAGAGGUUUCUUGCUCACUCCUUUGUUUUGGUGCUGCUGUCACGGCACCAGGAGAAGAGUGAGCAUCUGAAGGGAACUGCCUGCCGUUGUCCCCGCACUUGCCCAGGCUCUCGUACUCCUACAUGGCGUCUGUCCUCUGACGCUCGCGCUUGCUCCCUCGCUUGCUUUCACUUGUUUCCUCUUGGAACCUCUGCCUCUCCGUGUUUGCCUGGAGCGUGUCUGUCUGUCCUGCACCCCUUGCUGCUCCAAGGCAGCGUGCUGCUGGCAGAAUUUCUAGCUGAAGGGAUGUGCUGAGCUUCAAAGAACAGCACUGCAGUGCAGAUGGCACUGGAUUCUGCAACAGCUCUAUCGUGCCGCUUCCUCCUCUGCUGCCACAGCUCUGCCAAUAAAAUCUUUGCCAUGCCGCUGGCCA